ACGGACAGAGCCCGUGAAUCCGGGCGUGCGGAAUUCAGGACCGACGAGCGGAGACGCGUUCGCGCGCCUUCGUUCGUCGAUUCGAUAUUUCCGCCGCCGACCUUUACAGGUGCGGACGUCGCGACCCGUUCGUCGUCGGUCUGACGAGUCGCGUUUCAAGCUCGUCGCGCGCUCGUCUUCGGAUGUGCGCGCGGCGAUGGCGCGAUCCUCGGACCGGCGUGUGCGGACGGUAGCUGUAAACGCGCGGGUAAUCGACGCGGCCCAUCUUCGGUCUUCGGGCCGAAGGGCGCUCGCGUCGACGCCGGUCAGCGACGAAUCUUCGGGCCUCUUUCCGACCCGUCUUGAAACACGGACCAAGGAGUCUAACGUGCGCGCGAGUCGCGGGGUAUUCGAGUCGUUACGCGACUCGUCACCAAUACGAAACCCGUUUACGUACGUUGUGCGAAGGCGUAAUGAAAGUGAGGUGGCCUUCGCGUCACCGGGGAAGACGGUGCUUCCGUGUACACGUUUCUCGGUCGCUUUGUAACCGAGACCGGACACCCGCAUUCCCAGGGCGUCCCGCCCGUCCGUCGACGGUGCGGACGCGCGUUCGCGCGCGCGUCGGCCGCCGACGAACUGGGGCGCACCUAUAGCGUGCACGUUGGUACCCGAAAGAUGGUGAACUAUGCCCGGCCAGGAUGAAGUCAGGGGAAACCCUGAUGGAGGUCCGCAGCGAUUCUGACGUGCAAAUCGAUCGUCUGAGCUGGGUAUAGGGGCGAAAGACUAAUCGAACCAUCUAGUA
rnacentral:rRNA from 1 species